UACGGGGGGGGCAAGCGUUGUUCGGAAUUACUGGGCGUAAAGGGCUCGUAGGCGGCCAACUAAGUCAGACGUGAAAUCCCUCGGCUUAACCGGGGAACUGCGUCUGAUACUGGAUGGCUUGAGUUUGGGAGAGGGAUGCGGAAUUCCAGGUGUAGCGGCGAAAUGCGUAGAUAUCUGGAGGAACACCGGUGGCGAAGGCGGCAUCCUGGACCAAUAUUGACGCUGAGGAGCGAAAGCCAGGGGAGCAAACGGG
rnacentral:rRNA from 1 species